rnacentral:rRNA from 2 species
CCUCGGGAAACUGAGAAUAAUGCCGAUAGAACAUAAUGCCUGGAACAGUUUAUGUUCCAAAUGAUUUAUCGCCGUAGGAUGGGACUGCGGCCUAUCAGUUUGUUGCAGAGGUAAUGGCCCACCAAGACUAUUACAGGUACGGGCUCUGAGAGGAGUAGCCCGGAGAUGGGUACUGAGACACGGACCCAGGCCCUAUGGGGCGCAGCAGGCGAGAAAACUUUGCAAUGUGCGAAAGCACGACAAGGUUAAUCCGAGUGGUUUCUGCUAAAGAAACCUUUUGUCAGUCCUAGAAACACUGAUGAAUAAGGGGUGGGCAAGUUCUGGUGUCAGCCGCCGCGGUAAAACCAGCACCUCAAGUGGUCAGGAUGAUUAUUGGGCCUAAAGCAUCCGUAGCCGGCUCUGUAAGUUUUCGGUUAAAUCUGUACGCUCAACGUACAGGCUGCCGGGAAUACUGCAAAGCUAGGGAGUGGGAGAGGUAGACGGUACUCGGUAGGAAGGGGUAAAAUCCUUUGAUCUAUUGAUGACCACCUGUGGCGAAGGCGGUCUACCAGAACACGUCCGACGGUGAGGGAUGAAAGCUGGGGGAGCAAACCGGAUUAGAUACCCGGGUAGUCCCAGCUGUAAACUAUGCAAACUCAGUGAUGCAUUGGCUUGUGGCCAAUGCAGUGCUGCAGGGAAGCCGUUAAGUUUGCCGCCUGGGAAGUACGUACGCAAGUAUGAAACUUAAAGGAAUUGGCGGGGGAGCACCACAAGGGGUGAAGCCUGCGGUUCAAUUGGAGUCAACGCCGGG